CAGGGGCCGCCUUUGUACGGCGGCGUGGGGGGGGCGCUCCCGGCUCCGACCGCGCCUCGUCAGGGCGGAUCUGCCCCGGAGCGGGUCGCAUCGGCAUAAGGAAGAAAUUCUUCACCCUGAGGUACUGGGAGUUUCCCAUUUUCUUUCUCCUCCAGCUCCUCCAGAAGCUGCUGCCAGCCCUCCACUCCUGUCGGUGGCACCUGGCAGGCGCUCCAUGUGAAGGAAGGUGUCCAGCAUCAAAGUGAAAUACAUCUCACUUUGCCUUGGAGGCCAGGUCACCUGGAGAACACUGUCUGAACAUGGGAGGGAGAUGAGCCGUUUUCAAAAUUAGGAAGAAGGGGCACUGGGAAUGCAGGAGAAGAAUGCAGCAGUGACUGAAGCUAUCCCGAGGUCAUCUUGAAUACACCCAGCCUCAGACCAACAACAUCUGCAAAAUACAGAGUGUUUCCCAAAGCAGCAGAAGGGGAUCUGCCCUGCAGCAAGCUUUAUUCACUGCAUUUGCCAUCCACCCCCAGUUAUUACCAGUUGCUGAUGCAGGGAACAAAGGCAGGUAUCCCCACUAUACACAACUCCAGCAGAGCUUAAAACGACCGCAUCUCCUCCAGCAGAAGCCCUGAAGCAUAUACAGGAUGAAGGCCUGAUGCUCAGCCAAGCACUGAUGCUCACCAUCAGGUGCAGGAUGCUUGUGUUUUGGGCUGCAAGCCCUGUCCUCUGCUUCAGCAGCACCCUGGAGUGGCUCCUCCUGCCCCCAAAGUGAGGUGCAGACUGAGCUGGGGAAGCAAAAACAUGGGGAGCAGGGUGGGGGAGGAAUGCAUCUGGGGCUGCGGCGGUGGCAGCGGUAUACAGGAGUGUGGGAGCGGGCACAGGGAGUGGAAGGGGUGGGGGGGAUGACUCUUCUCCAGCACUUAUAUUUAUCUCCUCAUUAGUGACCCAGCUCAAAGGGCAGGACGCAACUCCAAGCCCGAGAAAUUUGUUGUUUUUUUGCAAACACCUACCUGAGAAGGAUGCAAAGCUUAACUCCACUACUAAAAAUAUUCAGACAAAACAGAUUUUCUAAAACAGUUAUGGAAAUGCUAAAUUUGGUUGUUGUUUAUCUCGGGGCGGGGGAGGGGGGUGGUGGUCACAUCUGCUUUAUUUUUUUUUCCCCUAAGGCAAAGCAGAAGCAAUGUCAAUACCGACCACUGCUCAUCCUAUCCUUUCUGCUGCUGCACUUUGAAGAGCCCAUCAAUAAUCCUACAGGCACCAGCUUUCCAAGGAGAUGGCCCCACAGAAAAACAGGAAUCCCUUAUCGGAUGGCAGGAAAUUCUAUUUUUACAUGGAGUUCAGAUUAAAAAUAAAAAGGGAAGAUACGCACAGGACUUGCGGGCUAAAAUUAAACCUUUAUAUUCUCCCCUGCUGCUCCCGCUGCUCUCCAUAUGGAGAAAGCAGUGAUGUAUGCCAAGAAGGAGGCUGCUGGUGCUGGCUGCGCUUGGUGGGUUUUGCCCUGCUGCAGUUAUCAUAGCUUAGCAGCAGGCUUUAUGAGUGUGGAUUAAUUAAAGCACCCUGGAUCUCUGCUGUGGGCAAGCCAUGUGCCCCGGGCAAGCAGAAAGAGUUUUUUUUCUCAGAUUAUUUACAUGGGUCCUUGUCCUCUCUCCGAUCGGAGGGAUUUGGUGUCUGACUGCCCCAAGAGCAGCCCUGUCUCGUGCCCAGACCGAGUCUUUCUGUGACUGAACAUUUCUGUGCUUUGGGAUUUCUUCCAGGCUGUGCCAGGCUUACCAGCUCUGCGGGCUUGGUGACACUGCUGCAAGUCUCAUAGGCACCAUCAUCGGCAAGGACGGCUCUGGUGGCACCUCGUUAAUUCUGUUAGGAAGCAGCCAGCUCCUUUCAAGCUUACCUGCAUUGGCUCUGCAGAGCUGCACCGCGUACUGAAGGUCUUUUUGCUUGGCUUGCAGAAAGCAAUUAAAACAUACCCAGCAAAGUCACCCCGCACAGGGUGCACAUCUCCUCGUUGAUCACGCUGAUGUUUUUUUAUCUGUGUGUGGUUUAUGCAUAUGUGUAAUCUACCACCUGCCUGGGAAAGCCCCUUUCAAAUGCAAAUGGGAAGCAGGAAGGUUUCUGAGCUCAGCUGGGGGCUUGUCACACUACCAGAGUUUCUGUGAGAGACGCUGUGACCCUGCUGAGGGCUGUAAACAGCAGAAAAGGAUUCUCGCAGAUAUCCUCUGCUUGCUUUACCAGCGCCCAGCCAGGAGUGUGGGUUUUGGGGCUUGGAGCACAACAGGUUACGUUGACACAGCCCAGAAAAGCAAGGAGUCACCAAAUGUCAGAGAGAAGGAUGCAAAAGGUGUUCGGCUAGGAUAAAUAGCAUGUGCAACCUGGGUGUCUGGAAGCUCAGCAGGAGUGCCUGUGCUGAGCUCAGGGAGGUCACAGCCUUGGCUCACCUGGUACCACCAGCCAGCUCUGGCCAUGCAAUGCCUCUGCACAACAACAACAACUCUGAUUUCUUCCUUCUGAGAGGGAAAAAGCAAAAGCUGGUCUGAGUGUGAUGACCCAGAAGUGCUCUUCUGCAGCAAAACUUUGCUCCAAGCCUUUAGCUCGCAGCCUCGUUCAAGGAAGGGAAGGCCAGAACAAACAAAACAGAUCAGGGCAACCUGAGGUAGUCAAACAACCACCAGACAGAGGCCUAACUUGCCAGGUGAAUGAGGGUUUGGGAACAGAAUUUGUUUCACCUGUGCUGCUCUCCUCCUACUUAACACAAUUACAGGAAGGUUUGAAAAGGGAGGAUGAUGCAAUUUUUUUUCUCUUUCCUCUGUGGAGAGCCAGGUUGUGUGGAUGUAUGAGUGCUAAGGUAAGAUGGUUAAUUUGGGGGGGGGGGGAGAAUGAUGAUGAGAAGGUGUUUGGUGCUGUUUUUGGAAAUACUUGAUGGUCUCAGGCUGGACUGGGCUGCUCGGCUUGUUGGCUGUGGUGCUUGCCGUGCUAUUGUUUCUAGAAGGUAGCUCUUUAUCACUAGCAGGUGGUAUGGCUGCCUCUGCUCCUGCCUGGCCUUUUUAGUACCACUUUUUGAAUUUUAAUGCCAUGACAUCGUUUGCUUCACCUAUCUUCUUGCACACUGAAGUGGGUAUGCAGCGAGAGCUGCUGCCGCCUUUGCUAGCCUCUAUGGGCAAGAAAUUAAACCAUGCUGGGCAAGCCCACGUGUGAAUAACUGUGUGUGGUUCACACACAAGUGAAAGUGAUUGUCUGAAAGCACAAGAAAUGCAAGUCUGAGAUCUGUGCUGCAUUGUGCGAGCACUCUGCAAGUACUCGCUUUUGUUCCUUGCUGUAAGAUUGAGUGGUGAAACUUGAUCUGAAGAAGCGAUGCAAAACAGUGUCUCUUAAAAAAAGUACUGAUCAGAAAGCUGUUGUUCCUCCAUGGCGGUGUAAUCUAUUUCAGUUUUCACACUUUAAAAUUAGCUUGUUUGUGAGUUAAAACUUUUGAUUUGCAAAAUGGUUCCUGGAUGUUUUGCCUACUUGAAGUCACUUUCACGGCUGUCCAGGCUGCUCCUGUGUGUAGAGAAUUUGCAGGUUGUGUGUGUGGCUGACUUCUGCCUCUGCUUUUCUGAGGGGCAGAGGUUAUGGGCUGGAUGAAAAAUAGCAUUUUGAAAAAAGAGAAAAAGGCACUUUUACUUUCCUUUCUGGAGUGGACUGUAUUGCAAGUUGAUUAUUUUAAUGAGAGAUGACUUCAGGGGAUUAAGUGUUAAAACCUAAUGCGUGAAUCUGCUUAAUUGUAGGGGGGAUGUCACUUGUCAGUACUUAAUGUUGAAUAAAAUGCGUGUAAUGGUUUUUUCUCUUCUCUGAAGAAGAGAGACUUGUGAGUACGUUUAUCCAGAGGUGCUUGUGAGCAUGUUGGAGUUGGAUGACCUUUAAGGUCCCUUCCAACCCAGACCAUUCUCGGAUAAAACCUUUGGGCUGGGAUAGGGGCAGGGACUGAGUUCUCCAGCAGAAGUCCCUCAGGCAGGCCAGCACUUAGAAGGAAGGGUCCAACAGGACCAUGUUCCUGUCUCUGAUGUAGCCUGUUAGGCACAGAACUGGUGUGGGACUUGGGUAGUGUGAAAAUACAACACAUGAGAGGAAAGGGAUCAGGAAAGGACUGAUGGUGUGUGCAGAAGUCACCCAGUCAUCCCUAAGCAGUGGUGGACUUGAGCCAUGCAUCUCACCUGUUUCCCAAGUGGAUGUGCUUGGUUUUUGUUUUUGGAGUUGGUCUGUGUUCUGUAUUCAGCAGAACAGCCUAUUAUGCAACACAACGUGUUUGGGGGAGGCAAAAUAAACUGUAUCUGAUUGCCCUUCCUUUUACGAGAAGGUUGAGAGAGUUGAUUUUUAUUAAAAACCAACAGAACAUAAAAAGCUACUACCAUCCAAAACAAACCAGGAAACUCUUAUCAGCUUGCCAGGAAGGUCUGUUGCUUUGUGGAAGUGUUACUGGACAGUCAUUGCUAUGUUCAUCGGUUGUUUGCAAAAUAAUUUAUUGUUUUCAGAUGGGUGUCAAAUCUUCCAUGCAAAGCAGGGAAGAGGCCCUAAAGUUGCAAAGGGUGGUUGUAGGAGAAGAGGGCUGAGGGGAAAUACCAUGGAACAGGAUUUGGAUUAUCUCCCUACAUAUUUUUACAAUGAUAAGAAUUUCAUUGUAUUCUGUUGUAAGUUAUGAUCCUGUUUUUGUUCUGUGUUCAGAUCAGGAAACAACAAACCUAUGUCUUAAAAAUAAUAAAAAUAAAAAUAAAGCCUAAUCUUCAGUGACGUUGUCAUUCAGCAGCAGUAAUCAAGGGACUCAGGAUGAUAUGUGAUUUCUAAAUCGCUGCCCUAUAAAAUGCUGUGUGCUUUUGUUACCAAUGUGUGCGUGUGUCUCUGUGUGUAAAGCUAUCCAACUCUACAACCUCAGGGGUGCUUGGCUGCUGCUUUCAUUCCCUGUUUCUGGUGUGCCCAUCUCUGACAGAGGGCUUGGUAAUGUCCAAAGGGCAUUUAUUAUAAAACUGUGUUCCUCUGCAGUGUCUCCCGAUUAAAAAAAAUAAAUAAAAGUGGUCUGCAGUAAAAUGUAUCUGGUAACUCAGCGUGAGUGCUUUACUAAAUAGAUCUGGAGCUUGCAAUGCAGAUCUGUCAGGUGUUUGUGCUGACCAGAGCUGCCUCCUUGUCCGCUGUUUGCUUUUUUUUCUUCUCUGGUAUAUCCAUUUGAGUAUCUGUGGGUUGCAGUUACAGCAGUGGAGCUGUCUGGCAUGCAGUCAGCUGCACGGGGCAUGCACGAUGAGAAGGCGGCAGCGUGGUGCUCUUCCAGAGUUACCACGUUUGUAGUACUGACUGAAGCGUUCAUUUGCUUACCUUUAAUUUGUGCUGGAAAAUCCCGUUUGAUGGAAAAAAAAAAUAAAAAUCUGUCUGGAAAUCUGAACUUCUGGGUGACAAAGGGGGUGGGUGGAAGAAAAUGAUUUCAGACAGGCGCUCUGAACUACCUGCCUCACUCCUCCUCCUCUCCCUAGUCACUGCGUGCUCUCACUGGUGCAGCAGCAGCCAGUCCUCAGACCGGAGAAGUGAACAGCUUGCUACGGGCAUUGCACUAGUAGGGCUAGUUCAGAUUCAUCGCAGGUAGUGGUGGCACACUUGGGAAUCCAGAUAUGCUUAUGGGCUUCUGAUUCAAAUCCCCUUCUGAAAAA